rnacentral:rRNA from 1 species
AUUGAACGCUGGCGGCAGGCCUAACACAUGCAAGUCGAACGGCAGCGGGGGGUAGCUUGCUACCCCGCCGGCGAGUGGCGGACGGGUGAGUAAUGCCUGGGGAGCUGCCCAAUCGAGGGGGAUACCAGUUGGAAACGACUGCUAAUACCGCAUACGCCCUGAGGGGGAAAGGUGGGGAUCUUCGGACCUACCGCGAUUGGAUGCACCCAGGUGGGAUUAGCUAGUUGGUGAGGUAACGGCUCACCAAGGCGACGAUCUCUAGCUGGUCUGAGAGGAGGACCAGCCACACGGGAAAUGAGACACGGUCCAGACUCCUACGGGAGGCAGCAGUGGGGAAUAUUGCACAAUGGGGGAAACCCUGAUGCAGCCAUGCCGCGUGUGUGAAGAAGGCCUUCGGGUUGUAAAGCACUUUCAGCGAGGAGGAAAGGGGUGAUGCUAAUACCAUCAUCCUGUGACGUUACUCGCAGAAGAAGCACCGGCUAACUCCGUGCCAGCCGCCGCAGUAA